UAUUCAUAAUCCUGGCAACAGUUACUGAAUUACAAAUCUAGUGGAAAAAUCCAUAAUUCAAAUCAUCGAAAAUGAAAGAACAGCCAUUUGGACCGGGUGAUUGUGGUCGAGUGAUAAGAAGACGGGACUGAGACGUCAACACGUUUUAGGUUCGAUCCACCUGCUACGCGAAACUAAGUCACAAUUAUGCCGGUCACCUAACACGAAUAUGUGCCUAUGUUUUAGGGCUCAUUUGAAUACCUGGAGAGAGGGUCUAUCCGUGGACUGCACCUCCUCUUAGAGAUUAGUCUGGGCCUCUCCAUGGGCCUGAAAUAUCUCCCGGUUAAUCAAAAAAAAAAAAAAACAGCCAUUUGCAUGCAUAUUGCCAUGAUAAAACCGUGGAAAGAGGAAAGAAAAUAAGAACAUGAAAUAUACAUACAUCAAUUCACUGCUGGUUCAAACCACCCUCGUCAUGAAUGAAAAUGUAUCCUUUUGUUUCAUACUCAAGAAGAAAAUUCAAAACAAAUUUAAAUAAUAUUUGCUACUAAACUGACAUCAAAC
rnacentral:lncRNA from 1 species